ACUCCACAGCCCCUCUUUAACAUGGAAAACCCAUUUGUCUACCUCACUGGAUACUGAGUGGAUGAAUAUAUUAACUGCUUUGCAGCACGUUGGCCUGGUUUCUUCCUGGUCAGGAACAUCAGCAUAUCUGCACCUCAGCCAGACUCUGGGAAAUCAGUGAACCACGUAAACCACAACACCGUGGGGAGACUGAAGUGAGCUAAUGCUCAGCUCAUACAAACCACGUGGUUAUUGAGACUCAGGAAAAGAAACUGAUGACAGAGCCAGGUAAAACUGGCACAAUCCAGUGUAUUUGUGGAGUUAAACUCCUAUCUUCCAUGGCAAGGAAAGCACUGCAAUAAGAGACAGGUUAUCCAGUCUCAUAUGUGAGUUCAAGAAGAGGGCUGCAGUUUGGGAGGAAAAAGCUUCUAAGAGCCUGGGCUCAACUCCAAAGAAAUUGGUCUCGAUUUAGUGAAGAGUCUUGGACGUGUGUGAAACCCAAAUGAAUGGGCAGCAGGACCAGG